rnacentral:rRNA from 1 species
GACGAACCGUGCGAACGUUAUUCGGAAUCAUUGGGCCUAAAGGGCGCGUAGACGGGUGACCGCGUCGAGUGCUGAAAGCCCCCGGCUCAACCGGGGAAUGGGCCUCGAAACGGGUCGCCUCGAGGCGCGGAGGGGGACCCGGAACGUCCGGUGGAGCGGUGAAAUGCGUUGAGAUCGGACGGAACGCCGACGGCGAAAGCAGGGUCCUGGACUCGUCCUGACGUUGAGGCGCGAAAGCCAGGGGA